rnacentral:rRNA from 1 species
AUACGGAGGAUGCGAGCGUUAUCCGGAUUUAUUGGGUUUAAAGGGUGCGCAGGCGGCCAUUUAAGUCAGCGGUUAAAUCGUGGGGCUCAACCCCAUUCUGCCGUUGAUACUGGGUGGCUUGAUUGCGGUCGAGGUUGGCGGAAUUCGUUGUGGAGCGGUGAAAUGCAUAGAUAUGACGAAGAACACCGAUUGCGUAGGCAGCUGACCAGACCGCAAAUGACGCUCAUGCACGAAAGUGCGGGGAUCGAACAGGAUUAGAUACCCUGGUAGUCCGCACAGUAAACGAUGAAUACUUGUUUUCGGCGAUAUAAUGUCGGAGGCAAAGCGAAAGCGAUAAGUAUUCCACCUGGGGAGUACGCCGGCAACGGUGAAACUCAAAUGAAUUGACGGGG